AUGCUCAAAAUUCUCCAAGCCAGGCUUCAGCAAUAUGUGAACCGUGAACUUCCAGAUGUUCAAGCUGGUUUUAGAAAAGGCAGAGGAACCAGAGAUCAAAUUGCCAACAUCCGCUGGAUCAUGGAAAAAGCAAGAGAGUUCCAGAAAAACAUCUAUUUCUGCUUUAUUGACUAUUCCAAAGCCUUUGACUGUGCGGAUCACAAGAAACUGGAAAAUCUGAAUGAGAUGGGAAUAUCAGACCACCUGACCUGCCUCUUGAGACACCUAUAUGCAGGUCAGGAAACAACAGUUAGAACUGGACAUGGAACAACAGACUGGUUCCAAAUAGGAAAAGGAGUAUGUCAAGUCUGUAUAUUGUCACCCUGCUUAUUUAACAUAUAUGCAGAGUACGUCAUGAGAAACGCAGGGCUGGAAGAAGCACAAGCUGGAAUCAAGAUUGCCAGGAGAAAUAUCAAUAACCUCAGAUAUGCAGAUGACACCACUCUUAUGGCAGAAAGUGAAGAAGAGCUAAAAAGCCUCUUGAUGAAAGUGAAAGAGGAUAAUGAAAAAGUUGGCUUAAAGCUCAACAUUCAGAAAACUAAGAUCAUGGCAUCUGGUCCCAUCACUUCAUGGCAAAUAGAUGGGGAAACAGUGGAAACAGCGUCAGACUUUAUUUUGAGGGUCUCCAAAAUCACUGCAGCUGGUGAUUGCAGCCAUGAAAUUAAAAGAUGCUUACUCCUUGGAAGGAAAGUUAUGACCAACCUAGGUAGCAUAUUCGAAAGCAGAGAUAUUACUUUGCCAACAAAGGUCCAUCUAGUCAUAGCUAUGGUUUUUCCAGUGGUCAUGUAUGGAUGUGAGAGUUGGACUGUGAAGAAAGCUGAGCACCGAAGAAUUGAUGCUUUUGAACUGUGGUGUUGGAGAAGAUUCUUGAGAGUCCCUUGGACUCCAAGGAGAUCCAACCAGUCCAUCCUAAAGGAGAUCAGUCCUGGGUGUUCAUUGGAAGGACUGAUGCUGAAGCUGAAACUCCAAUACUUUGGCCACCUCAUGUGA
rnacentral:lncRNA from 1 species